CCUACGGGUCGCAGCAGUGGGGAAUAUUGCACAAUGGGGGAAACCCUGAUGCAGCCAUGCCGCGUGUGUGAAGAAGGCCUUCGGGUUGUAAAGCACUUUCAGUAGGGAGGAAGGUAGUGUAGUUAACACCUGCAUUAUUUGACGUUACCUACAGAAGAAGCACCGGCUAACUCCGUGCCAGCAGCCGCGGUAAUACGGAGGGUGCGAGCGUUAAUCGGAAUUACUGGGCGUAAAGCGCAUGCAGGCGGCCUGUUAAGUCAGAUGUGAAAGCCCGGGGCUUAACCUCGGAAUUGCAUUUGAAACUGGCAGGCUAGAGUCUCGUAGAGGGGGGUAGAAUUCCAGGUGUAGCGGUGAAAUGCGUAGAGAUCUGGAGGAAUACCGGUGGCGAAGGCGGUAACCUGGCUCGAUACUGACGCUGAGGCGCGAAAGCGUGGGGAGCAAACAGGAUUAGAUACCCCCGUAGUC
rnacentral:rRNA from 1 species